rnacentral:rRNA from 1 species
GGAGUCUGGGCCGUGUCUCAGUCCCAAUGUGGCCGUUCAUCCUCUCAGACCGGCUACUGAUCGUCGGCUCGGUGGGCCGUUACCCCGCCGACUACCUAAUCAGACGCAUCCCCAUCCCAUAGCGGUGAACCUUUGUUCCGAAUCAGAUGUCAUCCUCGGAAUACAUAGGGUAUUAAUCCGCAUUUCUACGGGCUAUGCCCUACUAUGGGGAAGGUUGGAUACGCGUUACUCACCCGUGCGCCGGUCGCCAUCUAUCAAAGCAAGCUUCGAUAAUGCUGCCCCUCGACUUGCAUGUGUUAAGCCUGUAGCUAGCGUUCAUC